AUGCAUUAUAAUGUAAUGUCUCCCUAAGUGCAAUGCCAUGCGCCGUUACUAUACAUUUUUCAAGGGCUUCUAGCAUAGUAGAAUCACUAUUGAAUAAUUUGAUUUCUGUGCGUUUAAGUGGUCUCCACCUCCAAGAAACCACGCGCCUCAAAGUUUCAUUCCACGUUACUCGUAAGUAUAUAGACAUUUUACAUUCCUAUAAUACCCCCUGAAAAUGAAAAUCCAUGCACAUAACUUAAAUUAAAAAUAUUAAAAUAUUGAUAAAUAUUAAUCAACAGAAUUACCCAACAAUUUUUAUCACAACAAAUUUCAAUAAUUCUUGUCAGUGAAGUGACAUACCUAGGUACCAGCCUAAUUACAAUAUUGUUGCCUGUUGGACAGUAACGCUUACUAUGGUGGAGGUAAGCCCCCAAAGUUAUUUUAACAUUAAUUUUCUAGGACUCUAGCCCCUAUAACAGGGGUCGGGAACCUUUUCGUAGGAAAGAGUCAUUCUUUCAAAAAAAUACAAAACUAUGAUAUCCAGGGAGCCGCACAGACAGGUUUGAACAACCUUUUUUUUUUUAGUAGGCAA